UACGUAGGUGGCAAUCGUUAUCCGGAAUUAUUGGGCGUAAAGAGCGCGCAGGUGGUUGAUUAAGUCUGAUGUGAAAGCCCACGGCUUAACCGUGGAGGGUCAUUAGAAACUGGUCGACUUGAGUGCAGAAGAGGGAAGUGGAAUUCCAUGUGUAGCGGUGAAAUGCGUAGAGAUAUGGAGGAACACCAGUGGCGAAGGCGGCUUCCUGGUCUGUAACUGACACUGAGGCGCGAAAGCGUGGGUAGCAAACAGGAUUAGAUACCCCU
rnacentral:rRNA from 1 species